UACGUAGGCAGCAAGCGUUGUUCGGAGUUACUGGGCGUAAAGGGUGUGUAGGCGGUUGGAUAAGUGUGGUGUGAAAUCUCCCGGCUCAACUGGGAGGGUGCGCUACAAACUGUCUGACUAGAGUGUGGGAUGGGAAAGUGGAAUUCCUGGUGUAGCGGUGAAAUGCGUAGAUGUCAGGAGGAACACCGGUGGUGUAGACGGCUUUCUGGACCAUAACUGACGCUGAGACACGAAAGCGCGGGUAGCAAACAGG
rnacentral:rRNA from 1 species